rnacentral:tRNA from 1 species
AGCUCGCUCUCGUCGGGAGGUAGGGGCGCCGCGGCCUCGUUCGCCGCCCCGACGUUCGACUCGUCGGCGAUGUG